rnacentral:rRNA from 1 species
GCACAGGUGCUGCAUGGCUGUCGUCAGCUCGUGUCGUGAGAUGUUCGGUUAAGUCCGCUAACGAGCGCAACCCUCGUCGUAUGUUAUAUGUGUCAUACGAGACUGCCGGUAAAAGCCGGAGGAAGGUGAGGAUGAUGUCAAGUCAGCAUGACCUUUAUAUCCAGGGCUACACACACGCUACAAUGGUCUGUACAAUGGGUAGCCAAGCCGCGAGGCGGAGGCCAAUCCUGAAAAGCAGGCCUCAGUUCAGAUUGCAGUCUGCAACUCGACUGCAUGAAGCCGGAGUUGCUAGUACCCGCAGGUCAGCAAUACUGCGGUGAAUACCGGUUCCCGGGUCUU